CGAGUGGCGGACGGGUGCGUAACGCGUAGGAAUCUGCCUAUUAGUGGGGGAUAACUUAGGGAAACUUAAGCUAAUACCGCAUACGCCCUGAGGGGGAAAGGAGGGGAUCGUAAGACCUUUCGCUAAUAGAUGAGCCUGCGUAGGAUUAGCUAGUUGGUAGGGUAAAGGCCUACCAAGGCGACGAUCCUUAGCUGGUCUGAGAGGAUGAUCAGCCACACUGGGACUGAGACACGGCCCAGACUCCUACGGGAGGCAGCAGUGGGGAAUAUUGGACAAUGGGCGAAAGCCUGAUCCAGCAAUACCGCGUGUGUGAAGAAGGCCUUAGGGUUGUAAAGCACUUUCAAUUGGAAGGAAAACCCAGAUGUUAAUACCAUCUGGCUUGACAUUACCUUUAGAAGAAGCACCGGCUAACUCCGUGCCAGCAGCCGCGGUAAUACGGAGGGUGCGAGCGUUAAUCGGAAUUACUGGGCGUAAAGCGUGCGUAGGCGGCUUUUUAAGCCAGAUGUGAAAGCCCCGGGCUCAACCUGGGAACUGCAUUUGGAACUGGGGAGCUAGAGUUUGGAAGAGGAGAGUGGAAUUUCAGGUGUAGCGGUGAAAUGCGUAGAGAUCUGAAGGAACAUCAGUGGCGAAGGCGACUCUCUGGUCUAAAACUGACGCUCAGGUACGAAAGCGUGGGUAGCAAACAGGAUUAGAUACCCUGGUAGUCCACGCUGUAAACGAUGUCAACUAGCCGUUGGCUCUCAUAAGAGAGUUAGUGGCGCAGCUAACGCAUUAAGUUGACCGCCUGGGGAGUACGGCCGCAAGGUUAAAACUCAAAUGAAUUGACGGGGGCCCGCACAAGCGGUGGAGCAUGUGGUUUAAUUCGAUGCAACGCGAAGAACCUUACCUACCCUUGACAUCCAAAGA
rnacentral:rRNA from 1 species